AACGUAGUGAUUAUAUGCUCUUUGGUUAACGGUUCCUUCUUCAGCUUCACAGAAAGUACACAAGUUAUUUUGUAUCAAUCCCAGUCUGGCAAGGUGUGAUGGUGCAGCAUUGUGUCCGUAGCGCAACCGGUUUAUCGUGAAAAAUUUGAAACAACAUUGGAGAGUUGCCAAGAAGGAGACCCUCUCCAGUUGCCAGAGGACCGAACACAUUGACUCGGUGAGAUCAGAGAUGAGUGAAAUAAAACUAUCAGCGCAACUUCGCCCUCGAUGAAAGCCAUACUGCAAAUAUGGAAUGAUACCACUAGCCACUACAAACCAAUCUAAACGGACUUUGAUCAUGUUUUCAAAUAACUUACCAAGACAAGAGGACAAGGAAAUUGGGCAAUAGGAAUUAGCCUGUUCUGGGGAUUUAUUUGGUUUCAGUAUUGGAAUGACACACUGUGAUUUCCAUGAUUCAGUAAUGAUUAAAUUAAGCCAUAAUAUAUUAAGAACAUCAAGAAAUAACUUCUGUUAUUAUUUCUGUUAAAGUAGUUAGGUAAGGUACUAGUAUCUUUUAAAUGACUAUUUUCUGAUAAUUUGUCUAAAAAUGGAGAAAUGAAUUCAUCUUUGUAUGAUAUAAUAUAUAAUAUUGGACUUAACACCUUUAUACAUUUUAACCAUAUCCCAAAUCUUACUUAUAGGGGUAGUCCUGUUGAAAGAAUGGCAUAAGUCAUUCCAGCCGAUUUUCUUCUGUUCUGAAAUAGUUCUCUUUUUCAAUGCAUCUAGCUUUUUAUAAUUUAUGUAAUUUUCUAUGGUAGGAUCACUUCUGUAUAGUUUCAAAGCAUUAUAGGAUGCAAUAACACUUUCCUCACAGAUCUUGUUCCACCAAGGUGUUGGAGGUCUACUAGCAAAAUGAGCAGAUUUAGUAAACUUUGGGAUACUUUUAUGCAUAAGGGAGUCGAGACGAAUGCAAAAUUCUGAAUAAGUGGAAAGCGGAUCUUUAAUAUUUACUGAUAAAUCCUCAAACAUGCUCUUAGAAAGUUCAUUAUAUUUGCGCCACCGCCAAUCAGUUUUUUGUACAAAAAAAAUUCAACAGGAGAGUUAAAUUGAUACUUUUCAGUGAUUAAUGCUGUUACGGUUAUAGUAGGGUAAUGGUAACUUCCCAUACAAUCGUCAUGUACAGUCAGCGUCAAACACUUUGUAGCAACCAAAGUAGCCAAAUAGUUCGGUACACCAUGUAUUUAGUAUGGUGUACCGAACUAUUUGGCCACUUUGACUGCUACAAAGUAUUUGACGCUGACUGUACAGACCAUUCACAAAGAGGUGCCAAGGAAUCACUAGUAAGACUGACGUCAAUGGCUGAAGGGUUUGUUCUAGGACGGUUCACUGUAGUAAACCUACCAUCAUUUAAGAUACACAAUUCACAUUCAUCAAUAACAUCGUAUAGAUCUUUACCACGACCCUUUGUCGAUAAGCAUCCAAAUGCAAUAUGAUGAGCGUUAAAAUCUCCGCCAAUAAAGAUAGGUUUAGGGAGGUCUCUGAUAAUAUUGCGCAGCCUCUUUAAUCUAAUGUGUCCUGUAGAGGGAGGACAGUAGACGCAUAGAACAGUUAAAUUACCGCGUUCGGUAGAUAUAGAAACUGCUAUAGUUUGUAUGUCUUCAUAAAAAAUUGUAUUUAAAGUAUUAUAUUUCAGGUGCGGUGUAAUUAAUAUUGCUACACCAUUGUGAGGAUUUUUAGACAAUCUGUAGUGAAGAUUAUAACCAGGAAUUUUAAAAUUAUGAUGUUCUUUAAACCAAGUUUCAUUGAGUAAACAUACAUCAAUAUUCAUUUUUUGCAAAAAAUGAAUUAAUAAAGGCUUUUUACCAUUCGCACUUUGAAUAUUAAACUGCGCAAUACGUAACUGAGAUUCUCCAGAGGAACCUGAAUCCAUUAUUAGGAUAAAUUUUUAAUUAGCCUAUCUUUUAUGGAUGCUGUAUUGAUCGGCACAGAAUCAGGAUUGUUGCCCAGCUCUAUCAGUGUUUGUACCAGGGCCAUUAGUACAUCUUUAUCACCGAGGAUCUGGGCUUUAAGGUCCAUAGGCUGGACCUGAUUUAUAACCUGUGAAGCAGGUUUGUUAUUUACAUUUUUAUUUACAAAUUGUACAGGUUUUUGGAAUGGCUUAUUUUGUUGUUUGGACAAUGGCAAGGAGGGAUAUUCGCUUUCAGGAAUUUUAGUUUGUGCAAGGCUUGCGUAAGUUAUUUUGUUUUUCUUUUCUAUUAGUUUUUUAAUCUUAAUUGGACAUCUUUAGAUAUAGCCAGAUGAGGACCACUGCAAUUAAUACAGGAUAUCUCAUUUGGUGUGUUACAUUCUUUGUAAAAGUGUUCACCUGAAUAAAUAGGGACCGUGCGCGUUGGAUGGUCUGCCAUCUUGUGUCCUGAAUCGGAACCAUAAACGUGUACCUACAUUUACACGUCACGUGUUUUCUUGUGCAUAGUAGGUUCUGCCAUCUUGUAAGCUACAUCGGAACAAUAAACAUCACAUUUACGCCUCGCGCCAAAAAUCUGACGGCUCCAGUGCUGCCUCCUAUAGUUCAUGCACGCUCCCUAUAGAACAUCUUUGCUUGCCAUUGCAUACUCGAGCAGACUGAUUAAACUUAAAACAUUUAAAACAUUGCUGCAGAGGUGGGAUAUAUUCAAAUACUCUAUAUGAAAAUAAAUCAUACUGCACAUUAUCUGGCAGUACAUUCGAUAAGAAUGUAACACUAACUGUUUGUAGUGGAACGCGGUCUUCUCCUACUUUCCUGGUGAAGCGUCGUACAGAUAUAAUUUCAUAAACGGAACUCAGUUUCCUGUAUAGAUCUUUGUUCGAAAUGUUUGCCGGAACAAACCUUAACAUGCCAGUUUUUUCAAUUUGCGUUGCGCUUAUGUAUGCCUUCAUUUUAUGUUGUUCUAGAAACGCAGAAUUGUUAAGAAAGUUAUUCGCUGUGUUGUGUUGUUUGAAGACUACUGCGAUUUUAUUCGCAUUUACACGCUGAAUAGAUGUGACACCUUUUAUACUAGUGGUAAAUAUAUGGUUUAAAUAAAUUGGGCUUUUAUAUCCCAGUCUGUCCUUUAAGUCAGUGUGUUCCACAAACACUUUAAAAUCAGUUGUAGUCGAGUUUUCCGGAAAUAGUCUUUUGUAACCAGGCUUAAAGUACGGAAUGUAUUGUUCAUUAUUAGAUCGCUCACCGCCGCCGCCAUCGUCCUGGACUCCAUCGCCGCCGGCUUUGGGGCGUUUGUGGGAGGUGGGCGGGUUAUCCCCGCCCCCCUCGUUACCAGUCAUCACUAACAACUAGUUGCAGUAACUAUGUAGAAACUUAACACAAAUAUGAACAAAUUAAACUAACUUUUACAAUUAUUUAACAAUUUUAAAACUUGGAGUGAAAAUUUUUAAAAGUUUCUUUUUUGAG